rnacentral:piRNA from 1 species
GUUCCCCUGAGGUUAGAUCUAAGUUUGCCA